rnacentral:snRNA from 1 species
GAAUAAUACACAAAAUAUAGAGA